AUGGCCGAAGAACCAGUGAGUGCUAAGCCAUCAGUGGCACCGAUGCAGAGGUCUCCAGUAGCGGCCAGCCGGCUCCGGUCGCCAAUCAGUCCCUUCUUCCUCGGCUCCAAUGACGACGAACUCGAACGCGCGCAGGCACGAGCCGCGCGCGCCGCCGCCAAUCGCCGCAUAGCCGCCGCCUCAACCGCUUAUUCGCCUCCUCCCGAUCCUUGUCUUAGCCAAGACCAGAUUAUCGACCUUUUCAACAAUUGCAUCAAGCUCGCCAGCGAAAAUAAAAUUAAUCAGAAGAAUACUUGGGAGCUGAAGCUCAUAGAUCAUCUUAGCGAGAUUAUUAAGGUUGAAGCCGAAAACAACACCCAGACUAAUUUUCAAAAGGCAAGCCGCACAUUGGAGGCAGGGGUGAAAAUUUACUCGGUGAGGGUGGAUGCGGUGCACUCGGAGGCGUAUAAGGUCUUGGGUGGAAUCAACCGAGCCGGUAUAGAAAAUGAACAAGAUGAUGACAAUGUUGUCGAUGGGCGGGAGAGGAGUCAUUCUAAGAAAGAGCCCGAGAGAAAGGUAUCACCACUGUCAACAUUGGAGUCCUCUUUUGAAGCUCUUAACGUAAAGAAGUUUGAUGUUGCAUUCUCAGUGGAUCCUUUAUAUCAUCAGACAUCUGCACAAUUUGAUGAAGGUGGAGCCAAGGGUCUCCUAUUGAAUAACCUUGGUGUAUAUGGAGGAUGUAGGGUACUGUUUGAUUCUUUUGAAGUGCCAGGGAAGUGCAAAUCAUUUUCAUCCCAAAAUGAUACUUCUAACAUGGUUGAUCUCUCUUUUGCCAAAGAGACUAUUGAGCAGAUGGUAAUCAACAUGCGUGCCACAAAUGAAAUUUCUCCUACCCUCAAGGAGAUUGUCCUUCAAUUUGAUAAUGAUAAUCAAAGGCCAUCACAAACAUUUAAUGUAGGGCAGCAACCAGAUGUGAUUGCUGAGGCAUAUGAUGAUAAGGAAGUUGAGUGUGAUUCUAAUUCAUUUGGGAAUAAUGAUGCAUGGACCUUUGAUCAUGAUGAUGAGACAAGUUUUGUUAAUCAGAGCUCUAGUUCAGGAGAUCCUCAUCACGAGGAGAAUGAUCCCUAUACAUUUUCUGAACCUGAUGUGGAUGACAGAUUCGAGAAAAUUUCAAUGUUUUUGCUUCAAGGGCUUGGAGUUACUUCAAAACAAAAUGCAUGGGCAGGUCCUGAUCAUUGGAAGUAUCGGAGGUCUAAGGGUUCAGGAGAGGUUCUUGCCACAGAAAGUGGACCAACCAUUGCAAAGAAGAGAGCAAACAAGAAAAUCCUCACUGAAGUUGACAUUGAUUUCACAAAAUCCUUGGAUGAAGAAUUGCACGAUAUCUUUAUUCCCCCGAAAAAUCCGAAGUCUUUACUUUUACCUGCAAAUAGAGCACCAGCUAGUAACAGACUUCCAGAAGAUUGCCAUUAUCAACCUGAGGAUCUUGUCAAAUUGUUUCUUCGUCCCAAUCUUCUGUGCCUUGGGAAGAGAAGACAGAAAUUUUCAGGUGAUAACUCAUGGCAUGGAAACAAUGAUUUUGAUGAAGCAUUGCCAUUGUGGGACAAUGAGAGUGUGCUUAGUGGCCAAUAUGGUGAUCAAUAUGUUCAUAAUGAUGUGGAGGACUUGGAUGGACUUGUCUCUCAGCCUCGCCGGGUAAACAAAAUUGAAGUUCAAUAUGACAAAACUUCAAAACAAGUUGACGUACAGUCAUUGAAGGAAACUCUUUGGGAUCGCAUACAAGAAUCUACUGAAGUUCCUGAAACGGAGUGCAAAGAUACGAUAUCUUUCCGACAUCUCUUGUCCACCUUUCCUGUUGACUGCCAAGCCGCCGCUCCAGAGGAUAUCUCUCCCCAUUUGUGUUUCAUCUGCCUUUUGCACUUGGCCAAUGAGCAUGGUUUAAGCAUCCAAGACUGCCCCACUUUGGAUGAUCUCAGCAUAUAUCUUUCCUCUUGCCAAAACUCAGAUGGAGUGGUCCAGCCUUCAUCAUAACCCAGAUGCCGCUUAAGAACAUGGCAUGUAUCCCUAUAUGCCAAGCACGAAAAAUCAAAAAUUACCUAUAAUGCCUGCCCCAUCAUUUGGUUUGAUCUUAAUGGUUCACCGUCUGAGAUCAACAUUAUUGGAUGAAGAAAUUAGGUGGAUGUGUGUCGGGAUGUGUGUCGGGAUGAAGGGAAUAUGCUGUAUGAAGGACUGUCCAACUCAAGUAGCAACAGUAGCAUCUUUCCGUUCCAGGGGUGAAGUGGGCCUUGACUGCUCUGUUGGGUUCAUGGGAUGUGGCACAGAAAAGUACGAAUAACUUUGGAUAAAUUUGGAAAAUAUAUGAUAUGUAAUAUUCGAAAAAAUGUGACAUGUAAUAUAUUGACAUAAUGAGACAUUGCAUCAAUAGGGCAUGGUGGACGGGUAGUUAGA